rnacentral:rRNA from 1 species
UACGGGGGGGGUAAGCGUUGUUCGGAAUUACUGGGCGUAAAGGGCUCGUAGGCGGCCAACUAAGUCAGACGUGAAAUCCCUCAGCUUAACUGGGGAACUGCGUCUGAUACUGGAUGGCUUGGAUUUGGGAGAGGGAUGCGGAAUUCCAGGUGUAGCGGUGAAAUGCGUAGAUAUCUGGAGGAACACCGGUGGCGAAGGCGGCAUCCUGGUCCAUUACUGACGCUGAGGUGCGAAAGCGUGGGGAGCAAACAGG